AAUGGGGUGACACAGAAGGGCAGUGACGCGGGCUGAUGGAAUAGCCCGUCCAAGCAGUGAGGCUAGUCGGUAGGCAAAUCCGCCGACUAUUAGGCUGGGCUGUGAUGGGGAGCGAAAAUUGCAGUAGCGAAGGUCAUGUACUCCGGCUGUCAAGA
rnacentral:rRNA from 1 species